CCUACGGGUGGCAGCAGUGAGGAAUAUUGGUCAAUGGGCGAGAGCCUGAACCAGCCAAGUCGCGUGAGGGAGUACUGCCCUAUGGGUUGUAAACCUCUUUUGUCGGGGAGCAAAAGCCGGACGUGUCCGGCUGUGAGAGUACCCGAAGAAAAAGCAUCGGCUAACUCCGUGCCAGCAGCCGCGGUAAUACGGGGGAUGCGAGCGUUAUCCGGAUUUAUUGGGUUUAAAGGGGGCGCAGGCGGAUUUUUAAGUCAGCGGUAAAAUCGUGGGGCUCAACCCCAUCCAGCCGUUGAAACUGGGGAUCUAGAGUGUGCGAGAGGUAUGCGGAAUGCGUGGUGUAGCGGUGAAAUGCAUAGAUAUCACGCAGAACCCCGAUUGCGAAGGCAGCAUACCGGUGCACAACUGACGCUCAGGCACGAAAGCGUGGGUAUCGAACAGGAUUAGAUACCCGGGUAGUC
rnacentral:rRNA from 1 species